rnacentral:rRNA from 1 species
GGAGGGGCAUGCAUGGGCGAAGCCUGAUGCAGCCAUGCCGCGUGUAUGAAGAAGGCCUUCGGGUUGUAAAGUACUUUCAGUCGUGAGGAAGGGGGUAAGCUUAAUACGCUUAUCUCUUGACGUUAGCGACAGAAGAAGCACCGGCUAACUCCGUGCCAGCAGCCGCGGUAAUACGGAGGGUGCGAGCGUUAAUCGGAAUUACUGGGCGUAAAGCGCAUGCAGGUGGUUCAAUAAGUCAGAUGUGAAAGCCCGGGGCUCAACCUCGGAACUGCAUUUGAAACUGUUGGACUAGAGUACUGUAGAGGGGGGUAGAAUUUCAGGUGUAGCGGUGAAAUGCGUAGAGAUCUGAAGGAAUACCAGUGGCGAAGGCGGCCCCCUGGACAGAUACUGACACUCAGAUGCGAAAGCGUGGGGAGCAAACAGGAUUAGAUACCCUGGUAGUCCACGCCGUAAACGAUGUCUACUUGGAGGUUGUGGCCUUGAGCCGUGGCUUUCGGAGCUAACGCGUUAAGUAGACCGCCUGGGGAGUACGGUCGCAAGAUUAAAACUCAAAUGAAUUGACGGGGGCCCGCACAAGCGGUGGAGCAUGUGGUUUAAUUCGAUGCAACGCGAAGAACCUUACCUACUCUUGACAUCUACAGAAGCCAGCGGAGACGCAGGUGUGCCUUCGGGAACUGUAAGACAGGUGCUGCAUGGCUGUCGUCAGCUCGUGUUGUGAAAUGUUGGGUUAAGUCCCGCAACGAGCGCAACCCUUAUCCUUGUUUGCCAGCACGUAAUGGUGGGAACUCCAGGAGACUGCCGGUGAUAAACCGGAGGAAGGUGGGGACGACGUCAAGUCAUCAUGGCCCUUACGAGUAGGGCUACACACGUGCUACAUGGCGCAUACAGAGGGCAGCAGCCAGCGAUGGUUAGCGAAUCCCAAAAAGUGCGUCGUAGUCCGGGAUUGGAGUCUGCACUCGACUCCAUGAAGUCGGAAU